GAAAACCAAGAGAAGGUCCUCUAAACUAUGCAAUAAAGGGCAUAGCUGUGGCCAUGUUGGUUCGUGUAUAUGAUUACAGUGAAUAUAUCCAUCCAAAAUUCAUCCUGGUUUCUCUAUGCCUUCCAUAUUUAUUUCUUCUUGGAACUCACUCUAGCCGUAAGUGCAGCCCUGGCUCGAGCCAUGCUAGGCAUAGAGCUCGAACCACAGUUCAAUGAGCC
rnacentral:misc_RNA from 1 species